CCCGUGAGUACUUCCACAAGACAUCAUUUGUGGGGCGACGCGCUGAGGCUAGGGUGAUGGCUCUGGACACUGUACGCUUUGGAGGCGCCCUAGGAAGCAGAGACACCGAGAAGUACAUUAACAACAUGUAUCUUUGUCUUCCCUGUGAGCUUUGGCACUUACUGUGGCUAUACAUAGAUGAAGAAUAUCUACCUGAAGUGGUCCAGGGCAUACUCCUCCAGUGUGUACGGCUUCUCCUGGGAAUCUCCUCCAUUGACUUGUGGUGUGAACAGCUUGCGGCCGUGUUCUGCUCCCUCGGCAGUAAACAGCGCCUGUAAUGUCCACUGGAGGCUUUGUGACUGCUGGGAGGACAUAGACAGUCUCUGCAGGGAAGUCGCCCUUCUCGCCAGUGCGUUCACAUCGCCCGACACACCAGUUAGCACUCAUCACAGAUUCUCCCGAAGAAUCUUCCUCCAGAAGAAUC